rnacentral:lncRNA from 1 species
GCUACAGCCACCCCAGCCUUCAGCCAGCCACCACCCUGAACAGUCAGCAGCCAUCAGCAUUGAGGCAUGACAUCCACCAGCAAAAAGACUAUGACUCACUGAAAGCUGAGUUAUAUAAAGAGUUAGCAUUUUUUAGCAAUUAAGUAUUUUUAAAUUAAGGUUUAUGGAUUGUAUUUUUUAGACAUAAUACUCUUACACACUUAAUAGACCAUAAUGUAGUAUAAACUUUUAUAUGUACUUUUUUAAUUAAAAAAUUCAUUUGACUGGCUUUUUUUGUGACAUUUACUUUAUUGCAGGUGUCUAGAACCAAAUCCACAAUAUCUCGAGGUAUGCAUGUAAUUAGACGUCAGAGUCGCCAUUAGAAUGUGCUGAUGGCAAUCUAGAACAUGAGGAACAUGAACAUCCAGGGUGGGAACUUCCUUAUCUGGAGGAAAUCUGCUACCCAGACAGCAACCCCUUCCCAGAUCCUUGCUGAGUGAAGUGACUAAACUCCAUCUCUCCCACCCAUCUGGUUGGAAGCCGAAAGCCAGAAGCCCCAUGUCCCCAGCAGCAGCAGAUUUUCUCCUGCAGGGCCCGUACUAGUCUAUCAAUGAAUGUCCUCUCCGUUCUUGGAGGUCAGAAGCCAUUUCUUCCAUGGAGCCUUCCCAGAGCCCUCCUGGAGCCCUCCUGACCAUACUAGCUGGUUUGGUGAUGGUAAAAAAAAAGAAGAAGAAGAAGAAGAAGAAGAAGAAGAAGAAGGAGAAGGAGAAGGAGAAGGAGAAGGAGAAGGAGAAGGAGAAGGAGAAGGAGAAGGAGAAGGAGAAGGAGAAGGAGAAGGAGAAGGAGAAGGAGAAGGAGAAGAGAAGAAGAAGAAGAAGAAGAAGAAGAAGAAGAAGAAGAAGAAGAAGAAGAAGAAGAAGAAGAAGAAGAAGAAAGAUAAAGAAAAGUUUGCAAUGCCAAUAUACAGAAUGAAUUUGGCUGAGCCCUUUUUUCCAGAAGAAGGAUUCAGCAUCACAGAUUUGACUGUCAGCUGUGGUGCCUGGCGGCCCCGCCGAUUGGCACUCUGA